rnacentral:rRNA from 1 species
AUUGAACGCUGGCGGCAGGCCUAACACAUGCAAGUCGAGCGAGCGGCGGACGGGUGAGUACUGUCUGGUAAACUGCCUGAUGGAGGGGGAUAACUACUGGAAACGGUAGCUCAUACCGCAUACCAUCAGAUGUGCCCAGAUGGGAUUAGCUAGUAGGUGGGGUAACGCCUCACCUAGGCGACGAGCCCUAGCUGGUCUGAGAGGAUGACCAGCCACACUGGAACUGAGACACAGUCCAGACUCCUACGGGAGGCAGCGGUGGGGAAGAUUGCACGAUGGGCGCAAGCCUGAUGCAGCAAUGCGGCGUGUGUGAAGAAGGCCUUCGGGUUGUAAAGCACUUUAAGCGGGGAGGCGUUACCCGAAGAAGAAGCACCGGCUAACUCCGUGCCAGCAGCCGCGGUAAUAC